UACGUAGGGUGCAAGCGUUAAUCGGAAUUACUGGGCGUAAAGCGUGCGCAGGCGGUUGUGUAAGUUUGAUGUGAAAUCCCCGGGCUCAACCUGGGAAUUGCAUUGGAUACUGCACGGCUAGAGUGCGUCAGAGGGGGGUAGAAUUCCACGUGUAGCAGUGAAAUGCGUAGAGAUGUGGAGGAAUACCGAUGGCGAAGGCAGCCCCCUGGGAUGACACUGACGCUCAUGCACGAAAGCGUGGGGAGCAAACAGG
rnacentral:rRNA from 1 species